GAUGAACGCUGGCGGCGUGCCUAAUACAUGCAAGUCGAGCGAACGGACGAGGAGCUUGCUUCUCUGAUGUUAGCGGCGGACGGGUGAGUAACACGUGGAUAACCUACCUAUAAGACUGGGAUAACUUCGGGAAACCGGAGCUAAUACCGGAUAAUAUUUUGAACCGCAUGGUUCAAAAGUGAAAGACGGUCUUGCUGUCACUUAUAGAUGGAUCCGCGCUGCAUUAGCUAGUUGGUAAGGUAACGGCUUACCAAGGCAACGAUGCAUAGCCGGCCUGAGAGGGUGAUCGGCCACACUGGAACUGAGACACGGUCCAGACUCCUACGGGAGGCAGCAGUAGGGAAUCUUCCGCAAUGGGCGAAAGCCUGACGGAGCAACGCCGCGUGAGUGAUGAAGGUCUUCGGAUCGUAAAACUCUGUUAUUAGGGAAGAACAUAUGUGUAAGUAACUGUGCACAUCUUGACGGUACCUAAUCAGAAAGCCACGGCUAACUACGUG
rnacentral:rRNA from 1 species